CAGUCCAUGGUUGACAUGAGGGCUCAUUCCUGGGGUUGUCCAUUCUGUGGGUUUGGACAAAAGUGUGAAGACAUGGGCCCACCAUUAGAGUCUCAUACAGAGUUUCACUGCCCUAAAAAUCCUCUGUGCUCCACCUGUUCAUCCAUCCCUCCCCCUGGCAACCACUGAUCUUUUUACCAGAGUUUUACCUUUUCCAGAAUGUCCUGUAGUUGGAAUCACACAGUACGUAGCCUUUUCAGAUCAGUUUCUUUCACUUAGUAACAUGAAUUUAAGCUUCUUCCACGUCCUUUCAUGAUUCAAUAGCUCAUUUUUUUUUUAGUGCUAAAUAAUAUUCCAUUGUCUGAAUGUACUACAGUUUAUUUAUUCAUCUACCGAAGGACAUCUUCUUCACUUCCAAGUUUCGGCAAUGAUGAAUAAAGCAGCUGUAAACAUCUGAGUGCAGGUUUUUGUGUAAACAUAAGUUUUUAACUCUUUUAGGUAAAUACCAAGCAGUUUGAUUGCUGGAUCGUAUGGUAAGAGUAUGUUUGGUUUGUAAGAAACCACCAAACUGUCUUCCAAAGCGGCUGUACGUUUUUGCAUUCCCACCACAACGAACGAGAGUUCCUGUUGCUCCACAUCCCCACCAGCAUCUGCUACGAGGGAGUGAGAAAGCACAAGCAGGGGGAAGCAGUAGAAGGAGAGGGAGAAGCAGGCUUCCCGCUGAGCAAGGAGCCCGAUGCGGGGCUUGAUCCCAGGACCCUGGGAUCAUGACCUGAGCUGAAGGCAGAUGCUUAACCGACUGAGCCACUCAGGCACCCCGAAUGAAUCUCAUUUCACUGGAAAAAGCAUCUUCCAGACUGAGCUGAGCUCUGUACAUGAGAUAACCUCAGACCUUCCCCCUUCCCGUGCCUCCAGUCCUCAGUGCAAAGAGGUGUAACGUGGCUCCUGAUACAUAGAAGGGAAUGAGCACAAGAGCUCCUGGACACUAUCGGACUCUCCCAAUUCGUGAGAUGGGUAAGAACCAAAUGCACCCAGGGGUGAAGAGGAUGGUGCGUGGGGCUCUGCUCUCCCCUGCCCGCCACAGUAUGGCUGUUGAGAGAGGUCAGGCGUCUUAGGUUUCCGUCCCAACAUCACCCUCGGCUAGCUGUGUGACAAAGGGCCACGUCUCACCCACCUGCCACAUGAGAGGAUGGCUUGGGGAGCAGACGGGCUCUGGUUUGAAUCCUGGACCUGAUCUUGGGUAAGUCACAUAAACUUUCUGGACUUUUGUCUAUAAAAUGAGGUUAAUACUCUUCACCUCCUGGAUUUCUGGGAGGAUCAGAGAGAAUGUGUGCAAAACACCUGUCUCACAAGGACGCUUGAUGUGUGCACAUUCUCACAGGGACGCUUGAUGAAGAAUAGUAGCUAUCACUGUGAGGAGUCCUUGCUGCAGCUCCCAACCCUCUUAGCGAUGGCAUGGAAGUAACAGGGCUAAUGGAAAUGAAAGCUCUUUGGGGUCCUGCAUGCUGGAUUAGUUAGCAUGAUAACAACAACCGUAUUUACAUAAAAGUCCCUAGUCCUCUGUGUUCCCAGAAUGUACAGCUCUGGGGGCCCUGGGGAGAGUACCAGCACUUUGGGAUGGACCCCCCUCUGCACACCUCUCCCCCAGAUCAUUGCUCUUCCCUUCCAAAUGUUCCCAGUUUGGGGACUUGCCGUUUAUCAGUUGCUGUAGGGGAGAUUUUUGUCGUGCUAAGUCUCUCCACUCUGCAGGGAAUGGCCAAUUACUGCCAGGCUUGGAGAGAUGCAUCACCUCACACCUGGCUCCUAGGACCCCUUGGCCAGGUUGGCUCCCUGGGCAACAGGCCAUAGAUCACAGCUGUUUUUCCAGCCAUGGGCAGGAGGGCCAAAGGGAGAAGGACAUGAUCACUGGGCAGAAACUGGGAGGCCAGGGAGGCCUUGAAGAAACCAUAAACUCUUCAUUCCUCAGUGUCACAGGACAGGGGACAGCUAGAUAAAUUCAAAUACAUCAGUAGUCCAGAGCUUUGGAUCAGAUUCCAAAGGAACUCCAGCGUUCGUGUUUCAUUGCUUGGUCCCCGCCCUUUUUUGCCUACCCUCAUUUCCCAUAACUUUGGGAAGGCACUGAAGGCCAGAAGACAAGAAAGAAGUCAAAAAACCUGGCUAAUUUUAAACUUGACAUUAGUGGUUGCACGUUAGAACACUUUAUGUGGGUGGAAGGAGGAUGGAAGUUGGCCAGCCCACCCCCCACCCCACUCCUCCCGUGUUUCAUCAGCCUCAUGAUUCAGGACUUCAUGCAUUUACUCACACAUUCAUUCACUCAUCAGAAACUUAUAAUGAACACCUACACUGAACCAGGCUGUUUUCUAGGUGUCAGGAAUAACAAGUGAACGAGACUCUGCUCUGUUCCCAGAACCUAGUGUUUUUGGAAUACAAGCAAGUCGCCAGGGAAUACACCCAGUGUGCAAAUCCUCUCACGAUCCCCACGGUAAUGCCGAGAAGAGGCUCUGACUCAGAAUUGCGGAGGCCAUGGAAGGCUUCCUGGAGGAAGUGACACCUAAGCUAAGACCCUAAGGAUGAAUAGAACCAGCUAGAUGAAGAGAGGAAGGACAGCGUUGUGGGGAGAAUGUUCCAAGUCGAUAGAACACUGUAAGCCAUGUCCCAAGAUAGAUAGCAAUUGCUGGAUCUCAGACAAGGAGGGAAGUAAUAGGAUUGGAUUUGAAUUUUGGAAGGAGCCUCUUGGCUGCUGAUUCCCUGCCACACCCCAGAAGGGAGGCGGGGAGGCCAGGUUGGAGACUGUCAUAGUGGUGCAGGGGAGAGCUGACGGUGGCCUGGCCUUCUACACCGGUGUCCUCGGCCAGCCUCCCCCGUGGUCAGCCCCUUGCCCUGGGCUCUGACCACCGGCCCUGUCCCCUGUUCCGACCCCAGACCUUUCUCAUUGCGGAAUGCUCCUGCAGCGGAGGGAUUAUAGGAGCACCAUUGCCCUUGGGCGUUUGCUCGACUCACUGCCUUGGAUGUUCUGGUUUCCUUUGUUCCUCUCAGGCCUGCCAGAGCACAGGGCUGGGUCAUGGCCAUGGGACUGCCCCGGAUGUGGACGUGGGGGCUCGGAGGAGAAGGCAGGGGAGGACAGGACCCCACUCAUUCGAAGUGAGGUUCUUAUUUCAAGUCCAGAGGUGCUGGGGACUCCUUGUACUCAGUGACCUCUGAAAAACAAAGCAGGUGGAGACAGUGGAGCCCUUGUGCUCUGUGGGUGGGAGUGGAAAAUGGUGCGGGAAUGGAAAACGCCAUGGCGGUUCUUCAAAACAUUAAAAAUAGAUUUACCAUAUGAUCCUGCAAUUCCACUUCUGGGUCUAUACCCCUAAGAAGAGAAAGCAGGGUCUCAAAGAGAUGUUUGCACACCCAUGUUUCCAGCAGCAUUACGCACAAGAGCUAAAAGCUGGAAGCACGUCAGGUGCCCAUCAGUGGAGAAAUGUAUAAGCAAACUGUGGUCUCUACAUCCAAGGAAAUAUUCAGUGUUAAAAAGGAAAGAAAUCCUGAGACCUGCUACAGCAUGGAUGAACCUUGAGGACUUUAUGCUCAGUGAAAUAAGCCAGUCACAAAAAGACUGUAUGAUUCCACUUAUUUGAAGUCAAAGUCCCAGAAACAGAAAGUAGCAGGGUGGUUACCAGGGGCUGGGGGAGGGGACAGUGGGGACUUGUUAAUGGAUAACAGUUUCAGGUUUGGGAGAUGAGAAAAUUCUGGAUCCUGAUUGCACAACCAUGUGAAUACCCUUAACACUUCUGAACUGCAUGAUUAGAAAUGGUUAUGCUAGUAAAUUUUAUGUUAUGUGUUUUUUAACCACAAUUAAAAAUUAAA